rnacentral:lncRNA from 1 species
GCGCAGGCGGCGGCGCAGGCGAGGAGGAGGAGGCCGGCGCCUCUGGGUGGGAGCGCCGGAAGCCAGAGUUGGGCUCCCCGGCCGGGGUUCGGGUUGCGAGCGCUGCCGCGGCCGGGCCGGGCAUGGUGGGGGAGAGGGGACGCCCGAGGGGCCCCCUCUGGGAACGGCGGGGGACCUGAGGCAGGGCCAGCCGGGACAGGGGCGCAGGGCCACUCCACAGGCCCCGCGGGCCGUGCUCCGGAGGCUCCAGCUGGCCGGGGCAAGGGGGCCUUUGUGAGCGCCCCAAGAGUGCGCAGCCGGGCGUGCGGCCGCGGGGAUGUGUGCGCGCCCGGGGGGUGCGCGGGUGUGCGCGAGUGUGAGCGCCCCGGCGGGUGGGAGCGCGCGUUAGGGAUUCUGCUGGCAUCGCAGCGUGGAGAACAGGAGGCAGGAGUGGGGCGCGCAGGGGAGCGCGGGGCCCUCCCGCGCACACGCACACGCACACGCCGCGCGCGCGCGCGCACACACACACAUACACACACGCACACGCCCUCUCUGCCUCGCUCGCUGCCGCUGCCACCAUCUCGGAGCCGAGCCUUGCGGAGCGGGAACCCGAGCCGGAGCGGGAACCGGAGCCGAGCGGAGCCGAAUCGGGGAAUGCGGUCCCGGAACGGAGCGGCGCGCGAAGUGCGCGCCCGGGACGCCUCCUGUGCCCACAGGCCCUGAGGCUCCGGUGCCCACAGGCAAAGAGGGCGACUGAGUCAAACCCAGGCUGACCCCAGCCCAUUUGCAUUCCCCAAACGCCUGCCUGACCUGAGCCCUGACCUGCCUCUUCAGGAAGCGCUCCAUGAUGCCUCCAGUCCUCACUGAUCUGAGUCUGAAUGUCCUGAUGGUGUCCCCAGCUGCUUCCUUCUCCUUGGCGUGCACUCCUGGCUCUGUGUGGGGCUCUGAAAACACAGAGACUGCUCAGCAUGGCCUGUGUGGGGAUCCCAUGGCCAUGUCCUGGCUGCCUUGAGUCUGUGAGGCCACACAGCCUCCCACCUGCAUCUCCAGGGCUCUGUCCCUGUCCAGCCCCUGGACCAGCUUCCGAGUCUACUCCUCACCCCAGCCCGGGGACGCCUCAAGCUUCAGGACUCAGUGGGGCACAGUAGCAGUCACGGUAGGCGGCGACCCCACUCUGCUCUCUCUUGGCUCCUGGGAAUACUUAGCUGAGCCUUCUUGGUCUCUGGAAUAGGAAGGAGACCUUUCUGAACACCAUAUCUGUCACCGUAUCCCUUUGGUUGCACAUCGCAAAAAAACUUAUUUCAAUAAGAUACAAGUAUCAGCUCAUGUAACUGAAGUAUCCAGAGGUAGAUGGGGCUUCAUCCAGCGGUUCAGUGUGGCCAGGACCUGUUUUCUGUCUGCAUUUCUCUGCUCCCUCUUCCUUGGUGGUGGCUCCACCUCUAUGAGCAUU